rnacentral:rRNA from 1 species
GACGAACGCUGGCGGCGUGCUUAACACAUGCAAGUCGAACGGAAAGGCCCUGCUUUUGUGGGGUGCUCGAGUGGCGAACGGGUGAGUAACACGUGAGUAACCUGCCCUUGACUUUGGGAUAACUUCAGGAAACUGGGGCUAAUACCGGAUAGGAGCUCCUGCUGCAUGGUGGGGGUUGGAAAGUUUCGGCGGUUGGGGAUGGACUCGCGGCUUAUCAGCUUGUUGGUGGGGUAGUGGCUUACCAAGGCUUUGACGGGUAGCCGGCCUGAGAGGGUGACCGGCCACAUUGGGACUGAGAGACGGCCCAGACUCCUACGGGAGGCAGCAGUGGGGAAUAUUGCACAAUGGGCGGAAGCCUGAGGCAGCAACGCCGCGUGCGGGAUGACGGCCUUCGGGUUGUAAACCGCUUUCGCCUGUGGCGAAGCGUGAGUGACGGUAAUGGGUAAAGAAGCACCGGCUAACUACGUG